rnacentral:rRNA from 1 species
GAUGAACGCUGGCGGCGUGCCUAACACAUGCAAGUCGAACGGUGAAGGCGGAGCUUGCUCUGCUGGAUCAGUGGCGAACGGGUGAGUAACACGUGAGCAAUCUGCCCCUGACUCUGGGAUAAGCGCUGGAAACGGCGUCUAAUACUGGAUACGAGCUGCUAAGGCAUCUUCAUCAGCUGGUAAGAAUUUCGGUCAGGGAUGAGCUCGCUGCCUAUCAGCUUGUUGGUGAGGUAAUGGCUCACCAAGGCGUCGACGGGUAGCCGGCCUGAGAGGGUGACCGGCCACACUGGGACUGAGAGACGGACCAGACUCGAACGGGAGGCAGCAGUGGGGAAUAUUGCACAAUGGGCGAAAGCCUGAUGCAGCAACGCCGCGUGAGGGAAGACGGCCUUCGGGUUGUAAACCUCUUUUAGCAGGGAAGAAGCGAAAGUGACGGUACCUGCAGAAAAAGCGACGGCUAACUACGUG